rnacentral:lncRNA from 1 species
UUAUGGGCGGCUUAGAGGAAAAGAAUGAGGAGGAGAAGUGGAUGGAAAGGAAGGGGAGGAGAAAGAAGAGGAGAAUGGGUGGAGAAAGAGAAGGAGAAAGGGGAGGAGAAGAAUGGGUAGAGAAAGGAGAGAAGGAGAAAGGAGGGAGAAAGAGGAGGAAGGGGAGGAGGAGAAAUGAGUGAAAAGGAAGGGAAGGAAGAGAAAGGAGAAGAGGAAGGAAGAGGGAGAAAGAGAGACACCAGCCAUGGAGGAGGG